rnacentral:lncRNA from 7 species
AGAAGGCUUCAGAGGUGAAUCAGUGAGGAGAGGUUCCUGAGAGACGAACGGGCGUCGGAGGAGUUAUGUGCAGCACAACUGGGACGCGCUGGAGCACGUGACACAAGGCACUGUGUCACAGAAUCCCCAGACAUACAGCCUGUUGCAAGGGUGCAGAGGACUCAUGCUCCGGCUAGUCCCCACGCAGGCCUUUUGAGAAGGUGAAUCAGCGUGUGUUAGCUCAGGGCAGAGGGCCUGGCGGUGAGACGUGAGAACAGCCAAUGUCAUGGCGGUGGGGGAGUGGACGUGAGCCAUCUGGGGCCCAGCAAACAGCAUGUUGAAAAAAACGAGGAACUCAAAGGCAGAUGAGCCUACCACGCUGGGAACAGUUGGGAGUACAUUGCUCAAG